rnacentral:rRNA from 1 species
CCCGGGUCUUGUACACACCGAGGCGGGGGCAUAACGCGAAGAACCUUACCUAGACUUGACACCCCUGAAUUACCUGUAAUGAGGAAGUCCCGUUCGGGGACAGGGAGACAGGUGGUGCAUGGUUGUCGUCAGCUCGUGUCGUGAGAUGUUGGGUUAACGUCCCGACAACGAGCGCCAACCCUAUUGUUAGUUGCUACGACAAGAGCACUCUAGCGAGACUGCCGUUGAACAAACGGAGGAAGGUGGGACGACGUCAAAUCAUCAUCGCCCCUUUAUGUCCUGGGCCACACACGUAAUACAAUGGCGUUAAACAGAGGGAUGCGAAGCCGUGAGGUGGAGCGAACCCUAAAAGGCGUCUCAGUUCGGAUCGCAGGCUGCAACCCGCCUGCGUGAAGUCGGAAUCGCUAG